GGUUGCGUAGUGUAGCGGUUAUCACUCCAGAUUCUGAAGAAGAUUUCUGGCAACCCCGGUUCGAUUCCGGGCGCGACCU